GUGUCAGCAGCCGCGGUAAUACAGAGACUGCAAGCGUUAUUCGGAUUCACUGGGCGUAAAGGGUGCGCAGGCGGCCAAGUGUGUCAGAUGUGAAAUCCCGAGGCUCAACCUCGGAACUGCGUCUGAAACUACUUGGCUAGAGUAUUGGAGAGGGUAACGGAAUUCACGGUGUAGCAGUGAAAUGCGUAGAUAUCGUGAGGAACACCAGAGGCGAAGGCGGUUACCUGGACAAUUACUGACGCUCAGGCACGAAAGCGUGGGGAGCAAAAGGGAUUAGAUACCCCUGUAGUCCACGCCCUAAACGGUGCACACUAGGUCUUGGCGGAUUCGAUCCCACCAGGGCCCAAGCUAACGCGUUAAGUGUGCCGCCUGAGGACUACGGUCGCAAGACUAAAACUCAAAGGAAUUGACGGGG
rnacentral:rRNA from 1 species